AGAGUUUGAUCCUGGCUCAGGACGAACGCUGGCGGCGUGCCUAAUACAUGCAAGUCGAGCGAGCGGAACUAACAGAUUUACUUCGGUAAUGACGUUAGGAAAGCGAGCGGCGGAUGGGUGAGUAACACGUGGGGAACCUGCCCCAUAGUCUGGGAUACCACUUGGAAACAGGUGCUAAUACCGGAUAAGAAAGCAGAUCGCAUGAUCAGCUUUUAAAAGGCGGCGUAAGCUGUCGCUAUGGGAUGGCCCCGCGGUGCAUUAGCUAGUUGGUAAGGUAAAGGCUUACCAAGGCGAUGAUGCAUAGCCGAGUUGAGAGACUGAUUGGCCACAUUGGGACUGAGACACGGCCCAAACUCCUACGGGAGGCAGCAGUAGGGAAUCUUCCACAAUGGACGCAAGUCUGAUGGAGCAACGCCGCGUGAGUGAAGAAGGUUUUCGGAUCGUAAAGCUCUGUUGUUGGUGAAGAAGGAUAGAGGUAGUAACUGGCCUUUAUUUGACGGUAAUCAACCAGAAAGUCACGGCUAACUACGUGCCAGCAGCCGCGGUAAUACGUAGGUGGCAAGCGUUGUCCGGAUUUAUUGGGCGUAAAGCGAGCGCAGGCGGGAAGAAUUAAGUCUGGAUGUGAAAGCCCUCGGCUUAACCGAGGAACU
rnacentral:rRNA from 1 species